rnacentral:sRNA from 1 species
GUUUUCAUUUCUAAAUGCUAAUCCUUUUUCUUUCUUCCUGUCUAUGAGUAGGAACUGUCUCUCCAUCCCUGUAGAAUCUCUUGGACAUAUUUAUCUCAUGCUUAUGGGGUCCCCGUUUCUUGGAGUGGGAUUGACAUUGGUGGAUUCUGCUUCAGUGUAUCCUUCUUGCGGUCUUAUUUGCAUGCAUGAGUUAACUGUGUGCAUCCCAUUGUCCUUGCCCCCAGGCCAGUCUCUCAUGCCCAUUCCAUUUCCCCUGCCCUAUAGGCCUCCUUUCAUGUACUCUGCCCAACGGUUUUGGGGGACAAUCUGGGCCAGAAGGGGAGCGCAGCUUGGCACCCCCUGAUGCCAGCAUCCUCAUCAGCAAUGUGUGCAGCAUCGGGGACCAUGUGGCCCAGGAGCUUUUUCAGGGCUCAGAUUUGGGCAUGGCAGAAGAGGCAGAGAGGCCUGGGGAGAAAGCCGGCCAGCACAGCCCCCUGCGAGAGGAGCAUGUGACCUGCGUACAGAGCAUCUUGGACGAAUUCCUUCAAACAUAUGGCAGCCUCAUACCCCUCAGCACUGAUGAGGUAGUAGAGAAGCUGGAGGACAUUUUCCAGCAGGAGUUUUCCACCCCUUCCAGGUGAGGCUUGAAAGCCCUCCUUGAAAGAAGGGCUGGGGCCUUGGGGAUGUGGAGAGAAUUCUGCUGCCUUUUCUUCCAUAGGGCUGUAGUUGGGGAGGAGGAAGCUAGAGCUGAAGGGGAGGACUCUGUAGGCAGGUGCCAAGUCCUUGGAAGCUGAUGGGAGAGUCUUUACCUGGGACCCUGAAAUGUUCUACCUGAGUAGUCAUGUUUAUCUUUCUGGGGAGUGGGUCUUUCGCAGGUCCUCAGAAGGACCCGUCAUGAGCCAGAAAAAAGGGAGUCAGUUAGAAUUUGUAUUCCAGGGAGUAGUAGGUAUUUCUGUGUGCCCCAGCUGCAUCAUCUUUUGUGUGACUCCACCCUUGGCCUACUCAGGAAGGGCCUGGUGUUGCAGCUGAUCCAGUCUUACCAGCGGAUGCCAGGCAAUGCCAUGGUAAGGGGCUUCCGAGUGGCCUAUAAGCGGCACGUGCUGACCAUGGAUGACUUGGGGACCUUGUAUGGACAGAACUGGCUCAAUGACCAGGUGAGAAAGGGUAGAGAAACAGGCCUGAGAGGGGAUUCAGGGAGCAGGGUGUCUGGGGCCCUCUGCAUGGGGGAGCCCUGUACCCAUGCCGCACCCUCCAUGGCAAGCUGCCUCCCAUCUUCUCCCCAGGUGAUGAACAUGUAUGGAGACCUGGUCAUGGACACAGUCCCUGAAAAGGUAGGCCCAACCAGAUAGGUCAGUACCCAGAGGAACUUCUGCAGUUUUAAGCAGCUUUUUAAGCUCCUUUCAUCUCUUUCAUUUUACACAGAGAGGGUCUCUGUUUCAGGGAGAGAGGUGGUAGUGGUAGUGUAUUAAUUUCAAAUCCGUAAUCUUGGGCCCUGGAUUUAUCAGUUGUUUUCCUUUCUGCCAGUAUUUAGUGUUUUUCGCUAUGGCCAGCCCCAAGGAUUGGGAUGGGUUCCUAUUGUAACUAUUGUAAAACAAGGUUU